rnacentral:rRNA from 1 species
GACGUAGGGCGCGAGCGUUGUCCGGAUUUAUUGGGCGUAAAGAGCUCGUAGGCGGCUUGUCGCGUCGUUCGUGAAAACCUGCAGCUCAACUGCAGGCUUGCGGUCGAUACGGGCAGGCUGGAGUUCGGUAGGGGAGACUGGAAUUCCUGGUGUAGCGGUGAAAUGCGUAGAUAUCUGGAGGAACACCGGUGGCGAAGGCGGCAUCCUGGACCGGUAUUGACACUGAAAAGCGAAAGCCAGGGGAGCAAACGGG